ACUGACAACCUUAAACCCUGCCCCUUCCAAUUAUCAUGAUUUUGAAGCUCGAAAGCUUUCCCUCAAGAAAAUCACUCUCUCUCAUUGCCUCGAGCUUUACUCUGCAAUUUGUGUGGUUGUUAUCUAUGCUCAAAGAUGAUGCCUUUCUACAAUUCCUUUCCAACCACUCCUCCUCCUCCUCAACAGGUUAUGCCAUCUAAUCCUUCCCUUGUAAAUUCGUUUAAUUUAGUGCAAAAUCCUAUGCAAUUUCAACCCCAUUUUGGCAUGAGCAUUACUCAAGUGCUCUUCAGUAACUCCAAAUUUCCAAUGCCCACUUGAGCCCCAAUGUGCGGCUUUCCAUAACUCAACCUGGUUUCGUGAAUGGACCUGCCCAUCUUCUUCCCUUCCAAAAUACUCAUCUGGGUUCUCAACCGGGUCAGUCCCUUUUGGGGCUUGGUCUAUAGAACAGUGUAUGCAAUAGGAACACGGUUGCAGGGUUUCUAGGUAAUGCACAAUUUUGCAAUUUUCCGCAGAAUGCUAAUCAACUCAAUGUGUCUCAGCCUCCUUUUGUGCAUAAUUUUCCAAAUUUACCUCAACAACUCAAUCAGAACAUGGUUUUGCCGAAUGGACAGUACGGUUUUCCAAAUAGGAACCAACUUGCGCCCUUGCAAAUGCCAACUUCUUCUCAAGUUGGUCCUUACGGUAUCCCUCCCUAUCUAUUGGGUGGUCUGAAUCAACUACCUCAGGCCACGGUUCCUCAAAAUCCCAACUUCAUGGCAAAUCUGAAGUUUGGUCUUGUACAUUGCAAUCAGGUUGGGCAGCAAGGUAAUCAGAAUCAACAAAACUUGGCUCCACCUACAACGGAUGCAAAUGCAUUAAAACCAUCACCUAUUGCGGCUCCUCAAUUGCAAGGGAACUCAUCUGCGCCACUCAAUCAUUGUCCAGUUCAACCCAGCAGUCUAAGGACUUGCAAACUUCUGUUUUCACAAGGUCACCGGUACUUUUAUGUUGCACUCUCCACAUGAAUUGUUGGGCAGAUUAUUUCUUUGGGAAAGAAUCCUUUUAAGAAUGGUGGGAUUAAUGCUGCAAGCUCCAACUGGAAAAAUUCACCAAGCAAAAACUUCACAAUGAAUCCAAAAAGAGGGGAACCACAACAGGGUUAUGUAUUUUUUUUUUGGAUUACUUUUGUUUCCAUCAUUUUACUUUCAAAACUUUGGACUGGUUGCUUACAGUUUAAAAUCAUAUGUGGAUCUCAGAAGUCUCAGUUUCAUCAUAUGAAAAAUGAAAAGAGAAAGUUUGGGUUUCCUAAUGAACUGAAGGGCAAAGAAGCAAAUUGAGAAGCUAGCAGACUCUGAAGUCAGUGAUAGAGAGGCCAAACUAUGAAAAGUGCAACUCAAGGAGAUUCUAGCAAAGUAGGCUGAAUUGGGAGUUGAAGUUACAGAAGUACCAUCAUACUAUCUCUAAGAUUCAGAGAAGCAUGGGCAUGGAAGGGAAGGGAAUAGAAGGCCGUUGACUAAGGAGAGAUUCCAAAACAAGUUUAAUAAAAGAGGAAGAUAUGACAAAAAAGACCGGUUUGCCAAGAAGCAUAGGUUAGCAGACAAGGAUUCAUCGAACAUCAGUUCUUUGAACAAGAGAAAGCCAACACUAUUGCAGAAACUUCUGAGUGCCGAUAUAGGUAGAUACAAAAGCCACUUGUUGCAGGUUUUUAGGUUCAAGGAUAUCUUGCGCUUCCAUGCGGUUUACUGGCCAGCUAUGCUAAUGUCUGCAGGACUAAGCCUUCCUAAGAUGGUGUUUGGCCAUGGAUUUUUGACAAAGGUAUUUGAACUCAUUGUACAUUUCAUUUUUUUUUCCCUCUACAGCUAGACAUAUAAUUUCUCCGCU